CAGCACAGGGAGCUUGCUCCCGGGUGGCGAGUGGCGCACGGGUGAGUAAUACAUCGGAACGUGUCCUGUUGUGGGGGAUAACUGCUCGAAAGGGUGGCUAAUACCGCAUGAGACCUGAGGGUGAAAGCGGGUGCAAGACUGCGCAAUUGGAGCGGCCGAUGCCCGAUUAGCUAGUUGGUGAGGUAAAGGCUCACCAAGGCGAUGAUCAGUAGCCGGUCUGAGAGGAUGAACGGCCACAUUGGGACUGAGACACGGCCCAAACUCCUACGGGAGGCAGCAGUGGGGAAUCUUCCGCAAUGGACGAAAUCUGACGGAGCAACGCCGCGUGAGUGAUGAAGGAUUUCGGCUGUAAAGCUCUGUUGUUUAUGACGAAGUGCAGUGUGUGAACAAUGCAUUGCAAUGACGGUAGUAAACGAGGAAGCCACGGCUAACUACGUGCCAGCAGCCGCGGUAAUACGUAGGUGGCGAGCGUUGUCCGGAAUUAUUGGGCGUAAAGAGCAUGUAGGCGGCUUAAUAAGUCGAGCGUGAAAAUGCGGGGCUCAACCCCGUAUGGCGCUGGAAACUGUUAGGCUUGAGUGCAGGAGAGGAAAGGGGAAUUCCCAGUGUAGCGGUGAAAUGCGUAGAUAUUGGGAGGAACACCAGUGGCGAAGGCGCCUUUCUGGACUGUGUCUGACGCUGAGAUGCGAAAGCCAGGGUAGCGAACGGGAUUAGAUACCCCGGUAGUCCUGGCCGUAAACGAUGGGUACUAG
rnacentral:rRNA from 1 species